UUCAAUAUUCAGCCCGCCGUCCAAAAGGCUCUGAAAAAACACGGGCUCUCCCUCGCCUCCCGAUCCCAGCCGCCAGGAGGCGACCGGCCACGGCGACCCUCGAUCCGGUGUUGCGCCGGCCGCCGGACGACGCCGGCGAGGAUUUUCCCUCUCUCCCGACCCACGUCUCUCUCUCUCUCUCUCUCGCGCGCGCGCGCACGCGAAAUAGGGCUGGGCGCGGCCGCGUUUUCCUGUUGACGGAGGCCCUUGUCGGUGAAGCCCCGGAUCACGGCGUUCCCGUGGAGGGAGAGGGCGGCGGGGUCGAGCUCCUGUGAAUAGAGAGCAAGGCGAGGAUGGGCGCGGCAGGUGGAGACCCGUCCUCCUUUGUCCUCCCCGUCGAGCGCUGGAUCGAAGAAGCAGCGCUCCCCACCUCCAUCCCGUCUCCUUUCCUACAUCGGCUGCGCAGCGCCGCGCUCAUGGUGGUGGAGGCUAGGUCUCCCGCCCCCCUCCCCGUCCGGCGGCAAGCUUGAACAUCCCAGGCAAGUCUCUUGCGGCGUGGGAUGGACAGAGACAGGGGUAUCGGUGUAUGCAGGUGCGGGUAUUGCUUGUAGUAUGAGCCCGUGAUGAGCUCCUCAUUGGAAAUUGCAGAUGCAAUCUGGUGAUGGUUGUAGCUGUAGCUUCAUUUAUGCAUAUUGGGAAUGCUAUUUUGGUUUAAGAAGAGUUUGAAAGCAGCACGGACGGUUCUACGGCUGGUAUUGAAGGGAGAGCUUGGCAAUAGAGCUCUACUGCCUGAGCAUGGCAUCCAGCCCCAAUGGCAUCAUGCCCACUUGCCUAGGUAAGCUUUUCUCUGUUCCGAUUCUUGCACUUGUUGGUUUUUUACUUUCAGAGCACUGGGAAAUAUGAGAUGGUAUGUGUCUUCUUUUCUGGUACAAGUAAUUUAAACUGGCACCGUAUCAUUGCUACAAUGAACAAAGGUUGUAUUAUUUACAUUGAUUGGUACUCAAAUAGUUGUCUUACCUGAUCACUUGCUGCGUAUCCUUUCUUGAACCAAUGCCAGAUUAUUAAUCUUGAUUGACUUUGAAAAGUGAUUAUGUCGAAAUUCCUCUCUGGUAUAUAUUUUCUAUCAACUUCCUUUAUAAGGAUGUAUAAAGGUACAAACAAUCUUUACAAACUUUUCUGUUAAUGUCUCAUAUAAAUGAAAAUGUCUUAUAUUCAAAUUAGUUAGAUUACUUUCUGGACUCAUAGCAGUAUACACCUAACUUUGGGUGCUUAUGUUCAGGGUAGUAUUUUGUUUUUUGAGAAAUAUGUUUAGGGUAGUGUUAGUACACAACCAAGUAAAAAACAGAAUAAUAGUGUGAUCAGCUAAUAUUUUUGGUACAUUAGCAUCUAUUCCCUUUUCUCAAGCCAUUGAUUUGAGCUUGGAUAAGUGGCAUUUUGUCGUUUUACUGACUGAAUUUGCAGACCUAACAUGGCUCGUGCAUAUUAAUUCAUCAAUGUCUCUGGCUAUCCUGCAGUUCAAGGCAGAUCAUAUAUUACAUUUCUAAGCAGCUCACUUAUAUUGGUAAUUAUUUAUUAUGUUUAUUUGAAUCAAAAUGGCUUAUGUAUUCUACCGGAGUAGUCACUAGCCAUAUUAAUUUCAAAAGAACAAUUUCUAAUUUAGUAUUGCACUUGUCUAUAUUGUCAAGUCAACGUAUGGCCAACUUAUCUUCUUUAUAUGUGAUCCUGAGCUGAUAUGAAGGUCCCAUGUUUUCUUCAGUGGCAGGAAGGUGAGUGGGAGGACCAUAGGUCAGGGAGUGUUUGGUUAAGAGAGAUAAAUGGGGAUGAGUUCACGACCAUGUUCCUGCCAUAUUUUGGCAAUAUGGUUCAGAGAGUGGUUUCAGAGGAGGUAGAGAAAGCGAAGUUCAAACAAUUCAGUGCAGCAGCAGCAACACCUCCAAGGAUCCAGGAUGCUGGGCUCGCAGGGUCUAGGCCGCUAUCGAUUUAUUUCUCUCGGUCGAUGGCCUCUUUUGUCUAUGGUAGAUCUGCACGUCAGCGGUCACAAGAGGACUAGGAUCUGGCUGUGCUCCACGACUACCACAACUAAGCCGGGGAGCGCCAGAGACCUCAACUUGAAACUUUUAACUGCAACAUUUGUUGGUCAGUGUCCUACUCUGAAAUUGUUUGUAGUGCUUUAUUCUGUAUAGCAUCCUUGGAUGAUUGUGUGGUGUGGUACUUUAUUUAUAUAGCGGGGCGUAAAGCCUUUUUCGGUAUUCUGUAUAGCAAAGGGAAAGAGCCUCAGUUUGGUAUAGCUAUGGAGGUCAUCCUUCGUUGGAAGAAACAUUGGUACAAAACUGUGAGGCUAACUGUUUUUUAAUAGUACCAUACAGUUGGUUGUUAAUUUUAAGUGUAUGAUCGUUUUUUCAGCCAAUGAAGUUAUGCUCAUGACAUGGAGAACUUCAAGGACAACCUGCCUGAACAGUUUCUACCUGAUUAGUGAGCUAUGCCAUUUCCAGUUCUCUCAUGUAACCUGAACAGCUGUUGGUUCAGAUUUUAGCAUUCCUUGCAAUUCUUGGUUAGCAGCACGCUGCGACACACAUGGCUCUGCCUCCAUGUCGUUCUACUUACUUUCGUGCUCUCUGCUUUCAUUCUACAAACCAACAUUUUUUUCUGUAUUAAUCAUGCCAUGCUGAAAGGUAAAAGUUAUUGCUCGGGCAGAAAGGAACAUUGUUGUCAAUCAUGCUGUUGUUUGGGCACUAUAAUUCAUGCUAUAUUCUGAACUCCUUUUUUGUUCUACUCAUCUUUUGUUUUCUGUUGUGUUGCCUCAGUUAUUUACAGUGUGAAUUCUUAGACUUUGCAUUUCUUGAACAUGGUCAGAACAAUCGAUAAAAUUUAGAUGCUAAGUGGCCUUUUUUCUGCAGAUUUUCUCUACAGCGCCAGCAUUGGAUGCUGACAAAAUAGAAGGAAAACUCUCCAGGAAAUUGAAUAAAUAGUCAUUGUUGAUUUUAGUUGCUAAAAGGAAAGGACUGCUGCAAAUUUUAGAACCAAGAUAGCAAUUUUGCCUGUUCUACCAGGUAUUGCUUAUUUUUAGUUGUGUAGCAUUUGGUCAGAUUUGGCUUAUUUGAUAAUGAGCAAAGAAUAAUUGUUGUGAUCGAAUAUAACAAGUAAUUUUGCGGCGUAGCAUCAAAACUGUUAAUGUAAAGUUUUCUGGUUCUGAUUUUUAUAAUUUUGAUUCUCUCCUAAGUUGUUGAUGGAAAACAUAGAAGCCUGUAGUUAUACCUAUUUUGAAAAUCAAAAGUGGUUAAUAAAAUUUAGUCUCAUGAUAUUACAGUCUAAAAUGCUAACUACUAAGCUUGAUGCCUUCAUGGUUUUCUGAUAUUCCCUCUGAUCCGUAUUAGCAGUCGCUGGAGCGGAUGUAUCUAGACAUAUUUCAGUGCUAGAUACAGAAGUUUGAGCAACAACUAAUUUGGAUUGGAGGGGGUACUAAGAUAAACAGUGACUAGCUGCUUCAGUUACUCUGCACUUUGUUAGGAGUUUUACAUGAUUUGGUUCGUGUAUCAAGGCGAAUUAAAACUGGUAUUAGGAGGGUAAUUUGCUAUAAUUACCGCAGUAGUAUGCUCACUGGAUGAGAACUAAUCACUGGAUGUAAUCCCCUGUUUUAGUUGUUGUUUCUGUCCUGGUUAUACAGGCAGUUUCAAGAGCAUCAGACUAGCAUGCCCAGUCUGAACUUUUAGAAUGUUCUCCCAGUUCAUGUUCAACUUUGAUCCUUUUUCCGGUUAAAGUUCCAAGCAACUUUCCUGUGUGAAUCUGAGAAUCUCACUGAAACUUGUGUUUCAUUGUGUAUAUUCAGCCUAUCGAGUCGAGUUUCAGACUCCCGCGCAAAAAAGAAGAGUCGAGUUUCAGACUGAUCAUAAACAAACCUAGGUUUAAGCUGUGAUGCUAAUUUUAUUUGUGUGCUGCACCAUCAUCCAUAUCUUUGAUUUCAAGCAGUUCCAUGGCAAAUCAAAUACACCUUUUUCUUUGUUUAUGACAUUACAUAUUUGACAGGUUAAAGCAUGUACUAUUGUGCAUACUGAAGUGUAACAAGCCUUUCCCAGUAGCAAAACUGAAUAUGAUACCCUGUUCUGAAUUUAUAAUUUCGCAAGUAAGAUGACAUACAACUGAGUAUGUUGUUCUGAAUUUGAUAUGAGAGUUCUGCACAAAUAAUAGUUCUCAUGUUCAACUGAUAAUGAGCACCUCCUCUAUUCUGAUGUUGCAUUAAUCAUUGUUUGGAACUGAUGUAUUUGAGGGUCUGAUACCCUGUGAUAAAAUAUUCAAGUUAUGGACAUGUUGAUAGUGGUUAUCAAGCAAAGAGAUAGUUCCGCAAAAUGGUAUUGGUUAUCGCAAGAAGUUGACUCAUUUACUGAUGUAGUAAGAAAGGGGCACAAACUGAUUUUGUACAUAUACCUCGAAUCGUGUUUUUCUGUACAACAAAAAAUAAAAUUGGUUGAUAAAAAAAUUCAUGUUUUUCUGUACAACAAAAAAUAAAAUUGGUUGAUAAAAAAAAAUCAUGUUUUUCAAAUGAAAUGAAAGUGCGGAGCUGAAAUAGGUAAUGACGAACAUUGUUAGGGUACGUCCAAAUUUCAUCAUACAAAAAGUACUUAGUGUAAUCUUGCUUAUACGUUUGCAAAAAUUGGCUUAAAAAUAUUGCAUAAUGACACGUGGAGCAUGCUAUAUUUCAUUUCUAACCCGGUGCAACGCACGGGCAUUUGUACUAGUGAUGAGUAAUGUCAUAAUGAUCUAUCGACUAGCCUAGCCUCGGUUUAUAUAACAUACCG